UACGUAGGGGGCAAGCGUUGUCCGGAUUCAUUGGGCGUAAAGCGCGGGCAGGCGGCCCGUUAAGUCGGCCGUGAAAGCGCCGGGCUCAACUCGGCGAGGACGGGCGAGACUGACAGGCUCGAGGUUGGCAGAGGGCGGUGGAAUUCCGGGUGUAGUGGUGGAAUGCGUAGAGCUCCGGAGGAAUACCAGUGGCGAAGGCGGCCGCCCUGGGCCAAUACGUGACGCUGA
rnacentral:rRNA from 1 species